AGUGAACGCUGGCGGUAGGCCUAACACAUGCAAGUCGAACGGCAGCACAGAGGAGCUUGCUCCUUGGGUGGCGAGUGGCGGACGGGUGAGGAAUACAUCGGAAUCUACUCUGUCGUGGGGGAUAACGUAGGGAAACUUACGCUAAUACCGCAUACGACCUACGGGUGAAAGCAGGGGACCUUCGGGCCUUGCGCGAUUGAAUGAGCCGGUGUCGGAUUAGCUAGUUGGCGGGUCAAAGGCCAACCAAGGCGACGAUCCGUAGCUGGUCUGAGAGGAUGAUCAGCCACACUGGAACUGAGACACGGUCCAGACUCCUACGGGAGGCAGCAGUGGGGAAUAUUGGACAAUGGGCGCAAGCCUGAUCCAGCCAUCCCGCGUGGGUGAAGGAGGCCUUCGGGUUGUAAAGCCCUUUUGUUGGGAAAGAAAUCCAGCUGGCUAAUACCCGGUUGGGAUGACGGUACCCAAAGAAUAAGCACCGGCUAACUUCGUGCCAGCAGCCGCGGUAA
rnacentral:rRNA from 1 species